CCUUAAUUGCUGCCUGGGGAAAAAAUACGACAGUACUAAAUAAUGCAGACUGAGCUGACCCACAAAAAAGGGAGCCUACAAUGAACUUUGUCAAUUAAUUGGUCAGCAAUUGUGCAACUGCCGAAUGCAAAACGUUGCUCCGCCAAAUGCGCCCCACAUAUACUAUUGAAAGUUCUGCUCACGAGCCUGUGUGUGGAAAUUAGCAAUGUAAAUAUAGCCAUUUAAAAUUCCGUACAAUAAAUAUGAAUACUCGAACAAAAGAAAAACACACAGAGGCAUAGACAGAAUGAGCGAGAGAAGGCGAGACAGAGAGAUGGGGUACUGUCUGCCUGUUAUGCCUGUUAAGGGAAGGGCACAACCCGUA